rnacentral:misc_RNA from 1 species
GAAAUGCGAUACUUGGUGUGAAUUGCAGAAUCCCGCGAACCGUCGAGUCUUUGAACGUAAGUUGCGCCCGAAGCAAUUAGGUCGAGGGCACGUCUGCCUGGGCGUCUCACGUUGCGUCGCCCGCGCCCCCUCCCCACCCCACGAAGGGGGGAAGAAGGGCUGCGAGCGGAUGUUGGCCCCCGUGCGCGCCCGCUCUCUGUCGGCCCAAAAGCGAGUCCCUCGCGACGGACGACGCAUCGCGACGAGUGGUGGUUGACAAACCGUUGCGAUGCCUCGCGCGCGUCCGGUCCGUCACGGGAGGCCUGUCGUGACCCUAUCGCACCGCCGCCAAGGCGCUCCGAUCGCGACCCGAGGGCAGGUGGGAUUACCCGCUGAGCUUAA